rnacentral:rRNA from 1 species
GAUGAACGCUGGCGGCGUGCCUAAUACAUGCAAGUCGAGCGAACAGACGAGGAGCUUGCUCCUCUGACGUUAGCGGCGGACGGGUGAGUAACACGUUGAUAACCUACCUAUAAGAUUGGGAUAACUUCGGGAAACCGGAGCUAAUACCGGAUAAUAUAUUGAACCGCAUGGUUCAAUAGUGAAAGACGGUUUUGCUGUCACUUAUAGAUGGAUCCGCGCCGCAUUAGCUAGUUGGUAAGGUAACGGCUUACCAAGGCAACGAUGCGUAGCCGACCUGAGAGGGUGAUCGGCCACACUGGAACUGAGACACGGUCCAGACUCCUACCGGAGGCAGCAGUAGGGAAUCUUCCGCAAUGGGCGAAAGCCUGACGGAGCAACGCCGCGUGAGUGAUGAAGGUCUUCGGAUCGUAAAACUCUGUUAUUAGGGAAGAACAAAUGUGUAAGUAACUAUGCACGUCUUGACGGUACCUAAUCAGAAAGCCACGGCUAACUACGUG